UAAGCUUGUUAUGGAAAAGUACAUGUUAUCAUCUAGGUCUGGGGAUAACUGUUUUCAAAUUGUAGAUGACAUUACCAUUGUUGAAAACAUUGUCAGGGUAGUUCAGGAAACUUACAUCAUUUUUUGAAAGUUUACCAAGAAAGACUCCUUUGGUCAGUAUCCCUUUCCAUCUGCAAACAUUGGGGUAUAUAUAGUUUGGGGGUUGAGCAAAAAGUACAUACUUUACCCUGACAAAAGACAGUUCAUCGCCAUUCCCAUCAUUCAUACCAAUUAAAAUGUCCAAAAUGUCCAAAUCAGUUCAUGCAGUUAGUUCAUCCGUUCAUCAGUUUAUCAGUUUAUAAAGUUGAUUUUGGUGUGCUUUGUGUUCUAUACAGUCUUUGAAAUCCCCUGCCUUAAAAAAAAAAACAAAACAGUGGUGCAUUACAAAGUUCAGCAGUGGUGCAACUGAAAUUGUACCUAACACAUGGGUUGAAGGGGAUAAAGUCUUCUGGCCCCCCUAACCUCCUAAGGACUCUAUUAGGCUGAAUGCAGCCAUCCUGAAGCGAGAACAGCCUGGAAAUGGAUGGCACACAUACCAACCGAUCCGUCUCCUCAUAACUCGGGAUAGUCAUGAUGAGGCAGCGAGGAGCCUGGACCGAUAUAUUAAUGAAGAUUGCGAAACCACCGACAUUCAGUCUGAGGGGGAGAGCCACCAUGGCCUAAAAAGAAAAAGAAGCAACCCAACAAGCCAGUCAGGACAGCCAACCAUCACCUGCAAGGAUAUAUCAGACUCUCCAACGCCCCAAUUCCCCUAAGUUGACUUACCCCAAUGUCCCUUUCCCAGCAUUGUUCCCUGGAGAUGAAUUGGCCUUCUCUCUACUCGUUCCAGUGCCUCUACUCCAGAGGCCAUCUCCUGAAGGUAUGUUUUUAAAAAGAAGUAAUUCAUGUCAAUUCAAACAUUUAAAAUUC
rnacentral:lncRNA from 15 species